rnacentral:rRNA from 1 species
AUACGGAGGAUGCGAGCGUUAUCCGGAUUUAUUGGGUUUAAAGGGUGCGUAGGCUGUGCGUUAAGUCAGGGGUGAAAUGCCGCCGCUCAACGACGGAGCUGCCCUUGAUACUGGCGUGCUGGAGUACGGAUGCCGUUGGAGGAAUGAGUGGUGUAGCGGUGAAAUGCUUAGAUAUCACUCAGAACACCGAUUGCGAAGGCAUCUGACGAAUCCGUCACUGACGCGGAGGCACGAAAGCGUGGGGAUAGAACAGGAUUAGAUACCCUGGUAUUCCACGCCGUAAACGAUGAUGACUAACCGUCGGCGAUAGACAGCCGGUGGCCAAGCGAAAGCGAUAAGUCAUCCAUCUGGGGAGUACGUCGGCAACGAUGAAACUCAAAUGAAUUGACGGGG